UCUAAUAUGGCAGAUUAGUGCAUUGAAUUUAAGCUUCAAAUAAAAAUAAAAUUUGUUAGAA
rnacentral:tRNA from 1 species